rnacentral:tRNA from 1 species
UAGUAAUUAGUUUAAAUAAAAUAAAUGAUUUCGACUCAUUAGAUUGUGAUCAUCUCACAAUUACUA